CGGGGAUUAGCACAGUUGGCUAGUGCGCCUGCUUUGGGAGCAGGAGGUCGGCAGUUCAAGUCUGCCAUCCCCGA
rnacentral:tRNA from 1 species